AGGACGAACGCUGGCGGCGUGCUUAACACAUGCAAGUCGAGCGAGGCCCUUCCUUCGGGAAGGUGCCCUAGCGGCGAACGGGUGAGUAACACGUGGGCAACCUGCCCCUAGCACUGGGAUAACUCCGGGAAACCGGGGCUAAUACCGGAUAUGACCUUUGAGGGCAUCCUCGAAGGUGUAAAGGAUUCUGGCUAGGGAUGGGCCCGCGGCCUAUCAGCUUGUUGGUGGGGUAACGGCCUACCAAGGCGACGACGGGUAGCCGGCCUGAGAGGGCGACCGGCCACACUGGGACUGAGACACGGCCCAGACUCCUACGGGAGGCAGCAGUGGGGAAUAUUGCACAAUGGGCGAAAGCCUGAUGCAGCGACGCCGCGUGAGGGAUGACGGCCUUCGGGUUGUAAACCUCUUUCAGCAGGGACGAAGCGAAAGUGACGGUACCUGCAGAAGAGCACCGGCCAACUACGUGCCAGCAGCCGC
rnacentral:rRNA from 1 species